AGAGUUUGAUCCUGGCUCAGGACGAACGCUGGCGGCGUGGAUAAGACAUGCAAGUCGAACGACUAUUUCAGGGUAGCAAUAUUCUGGAGUGGGAGUGGCGCAAGGGUGCGUAACACGUGGGCACUCUGCCGUGAAGUUUGGGAUAACUCGCUGAAAGGCGAGCUAAUACCGGAUGUGACAAUUGGGAGGCAUCUUCUGAUUGUUAAAGUUGGGGACCGUAAGGCCUGACGCUUCAUGAUGAGCCCGCGGCCUAUCAGCUAGUUGGUGAGGUAACGGCUCACCAAGGCUAAGACGGGUAGCUGGUCUGAGAGGACGACCAGCCACACUGGAACUGAGACACGGUCCAGACACCUACGGGUGGCAGCAGUCGAGAAUUUUUCACAAUGGGCGCAAGCCUGAUGGAGCGACGCCGCGUGGGGGAUGAAUGGCUUCGGCCCGUAAACCCCUGUCAUUUGCGAUCAAACCUUGGUAUUUAAAAGAUGCCGAGCUGAUAGUAGCGAAAGAGGAAGGGACGGCUAACUCUGUGCCAGCAGCCGCGGUAAUACAGAGGUCCCGAGCGUUGUUCGGAUUCACUGGGCGUAAAGGGUGCGUAGGUGGUGACGUAAGUCGGAUGUGAAAUCUCGGAGCUCAACUCCGAAACGGCAUUGGAAACUGCGUUGCUAGAGGGUUGGAGGGGGGACUGGAAUGCUUGGUGUAGCAGUGAAAUGCGUAGAUAUCAAGCGGAACACCAGUGGCGAAGGCGAGUCCCUGGACAACACCUGACACUGAGGCACGAAAGCUAGGGGAGCAAACAGGAUUAGAUACCCCCGUAGUCC
rnacentral:rRNA from 1 species